AUUGAACGCUGGCGGCAGGCCUAACACAUGCAAGUCGAGCGGAUGAAGAGAGCUUGCUCUCUGAUUCAGCGGCGGACGGGUGAGUAAUGCCUAGGAAUCUGCCUGGUAGUGGGGGACAACGUUUCGAAAGGAACGCUAAUACCGCAUACGUCCUACGGGAGAAAGUGGGGGAUCUUCGGACCUCACGCUAUCAGAUGAGCCUAGGUACGAUUAGCUAGUUGGUGAGGUAAAGGCUCACCAAGGCGACGAUCGUUAACUGGUCUGAGAGGAUGAUCAGUCACACUGGAACUGAGACACGGUCCAGACUCCUACGGGAGGCAGCAGUGGGGAAUAUUGGACAAUGGGCGAAAGCCUGAUCCAGUCAUGCCGCGUGUGUGAAGAAGGUCUUCGGAUUGUAAAGCACUUUAAGUUGGGAGGAAGGGCAGUAAGUUAAUACCUUGCUGUUUUGACGUUGCCGACAGAAUAAGCACCGGCUAACUUCGUGCCAGCAGCCGCCGUAACAC
rnacentral:rRNA from 1 species